rnacentral:lncRNA from 1 species
UGAGAAUAAAUCAAGAAUUUUAAUGUUUUUAUACUGUAAAUAUAUCCACAAUAUAUGUUGUAAACAUAACUGUAUACAUUUAGAAGAUAUAUUUUAUUCCCAUACUUUGACUGAUACUUCAAGUAUACAGAUUUAUAGCAUCAGAUACAUCGCAGCACUUACGUGGCAGAUGGAAGAAGAGUCAGAAAACAAACAGCAUAGAGGUUAUCUGGGAGGGUUGAUCAUGCAGUGCUGUAUGUAACAGAUAACUUUGGUAUCGUGUCCACCAUAAUGAAGCUUGUUUCAUUUACAGAAGCAGAGAAAACAGCAUUUAGAACUAACCUCACCUCCAAACAGCCCCCCAGCGUGAAGAUUGUAGUAUUUAAAAACCAAUGUCGGAAACAGUCAACAAAUAGACUGUUGUUUCUGUUUCCUUCACUCUUAAACAAGAGAAACACAAAGUAGGGGGGCAAGGUCGACCAUUUACCAGGUAUGACCCAGUCUGUCAAAAGCUGUGAUUAAUCCCACUUAUUUCAUGUAUUCAAAGCUGAGUCAGACUUCAGCCAGAGCAGAACUUAGCUGCUUGACAUUUUAUCCAGAAUGAAGACGUUGAGCACAUCACUCCUGUUUUAGUAUCUUCAUUCAGGCUGCCAGUCUGUUCAGGAUAAAUUUGAAGCGCUUAAUGAUUUUUGUGUUAACUUUGGCGGCCCCCUGUGGACAAACAGUCUUCACUUGUCUCGUCCUCUACAUUAUUUCAAAUCUCUAAACUCACACUGCCUCAGUUAUAUUGAUGAUCUUACACUCCACUACCAUCCUCCAUGACUGAAAACACAGGCCAGCAGAGCGUUUGCCUGAGGAGAUAAGAAACUGGAUUUUAUGGUGACCUGAUUUUGUUUCCUUUAAAUAUGGAUUUAGCUUUUUACAAUCCAAGCUGGUUGAUCCUCCUCAAGGUUGUUGAUUUUUCUUUUUAUGCAGAGUACUCUGGAUAUAAAAGUUCUAUAUUAUCAUCACAGCUCCUGAGUCAGGUUCACUGAUCACUGGGGAUCGAUCUGAACCAUCAGUAUCAACUUUUUCCUUUAGGUCUGAAUGCUGUUUUAUGAACAACACACUGCAGAUCAAAACAAAAUGAUUGCUGUAAACUCCUGCCCAAACCCAGUUUGAAGUUACAUUCAACAGUCAUUCAUCAUAAACCUGAACUUACAUGACCAACCAGACCUUACGUACACUACACCCCCAUGACACACCUCGUUCAUUUACAGAAACAAACGGCAAACAUUCAGAACUUUCCUCAGACUUGCAGAGAACUCAGGGCCUCUCAGUAGGUCUAAGGAAGAUCUUUGCAGAGCAAAACAAGAAUAUUAUAAGAUCAAAUUUCUCAACAUAUCAACUUUAAGUACUUUAUCUUUAACAAACACAAAAACUGAUCUCUGAUAUUUGACACUAGCUGAACCUGUCUGAUACCAAUCGUGUCAGAUUUGUUCUGAUUAUUUCUUCACUGUUUCUUCACAUACAGACAUGUACAGGUGUGAUUUUUACAGGAGGUUGGAAACAGUUUGCUCUAACUCAAACAGUAAAUCUGAUCAAUCAUUACUGUCCUCUAACCAAUAUAAUUCUCUAUUGCUAUAAUGCUAAAAAAUAAAAAUUACAUCAGCAUCAACAUCAGCUUGUUUAGAAAAAUAUAAGUAUUCCUAAACCUGACGAAAAAAGAAACCCACAAAAAAAGGUUGAAGAUUAGUCACAAGCUUCAUCUGAAAUGAUAAGAAUCUGAAGGGAAACUCUGAAACUGAAAAACUGUGGUGAUAGUGCUGGGCGAUAGGACGAUAGAUAUCGUGGGCACGAUAGAAAAUGUCUAUCGUGCCAUUUCUAUUUUUAUCGUUUCGAGCGAUAGGCUGUAUUUUAUCCAUAGGGCUUGUGCCAUCAGAUGAUUCAUAGUAACAACAAUAACUGCACAUUCAGUAAGUGUAUUUGGUGUCAAACGGGAAAGAAAACAAUAUUUUCUUACAAAGAAAAGGAUGCAUUGACAUGUAGGCUCGCAUUUCUCUUUCGAUUUUGCGACAUGACGCCACUUUACGUGCCCUCUCCGUGUCCAGCGUCUUCCGCCGUUGCGGGUUACCUGGGUUACACACGUGAGGGGAUCAUUGUAAGCAGUGCUUAAUUUGUGCUGGAGCAAGCCGGAGCGCGCUCUGGGACCUUCCCUGUAGAGGAUGACAUUUUUCGGGAAUUCCCGUGGGUCACGUGAUUCCCGUGGGAAUCCCACGGGAUGGGAGUCAUUUUUUUAAUUAAUCCCUUGAUCGGGGCGGGACAGGAAAAAAAGCAAUGGGAGUGGGCAGGAGCGGGAACAACAUUUAUAGAUGAUCAUUUUCAGCCGUGUUAAACAACCAGAUGAACAGGUGCGUCCAUUUCUGUAGUCAUCUCUCAGUAAGAGCCAACACAACUUGACCGCGCUAGCAACACAAAAGAACUACAACAGUGGUUUGACUUCCUGUCAGCUGGGAGCGCGGCUGCGCAUUUCUACCCUUCAAGCCAGGAGCGAGGAAACGUAAUUUUGUGACAUUCUGUAGUUUUUCAAUCAUUUCUGGAGUCGUGGCGAAUCAAAUCACCUUAACUGUCUGCCCCUGAUAGGCGAAUAAAGCGCUCGGAUUCAUGCUCGGGUCUUGCUACGUGCUUCAAGAGUAAAGUAAACAGCGACGGAGGCAGAGAGCAGCUUUGGAGGAGAAACAUCCAGCAGUGUGAACAACCUCUUCAAAAGAGCCCUAAAGUCCUACCUUUUUAAUAAAGCCUUUGGUUAGCUUUCCUCUAUGCUUUUACUACCUUGCCUCUUACAUUGCAACUCUAUAUUCUUUAUUUUUUUUAUUCUCUUUUUUUAUGCCAAUCUGUGACUGUCAUUCUAUUGCUUUUUUUAUUGUUGCUGCUCUUUUUUUACUGUGUACUGUAGCACUUUGAGAUUUUUUGUAAAUGUAAAGUGCUACAAAUUAAAUUUAUUAUUAUUAUUAUUAUUAUGGAGUGCUUUGGCUCACACUAUCGGCGUUUUCUGUGAGUGUUGCAUAACUUUGGGUGAGCACAGACAUGAACGCACUUCAGCCACGUAUUUAUUUAUUCAUUUUUCUAGUUUUAAGUGCUGGUCUUGUACUGGCACUGUACUAGGGCAGCUGUAUACACUUUAAUUUUUCAUAGAACUGAAAGCAUACCAUAGCUAUAUCGUGGUAUAUCGUUAUCGUGAUAUAAAAUGAUCCAUAUCAUGAUAUACAUUUUUUUCCAUAUCGCCCAGCACUAGUUGGUGAAGCUCCACCCACAAUCCUACCCUGCCCCGCCUUCUGCCCAAUUAAAGACUGACCUCACACCCUCAACGCCACUCCUCUAGGAAUGAUUUUUUCAUAACUGAAUUAAAAUCACCCCAAAUGAUCAGAAAUAACCACUUUUUUUCAGUCUUGUUUGAAACCGUUUAUAUCUGUGUCACUCUGAUGAACCACCUUCAGUCUAAACAGUGAAGAGUGUCAACCC